UUUGGCCUACGGGGGGCAGCAGUGAGGAAUAUUGGUCAAUGGACGAGAGUCUGAACCAGCCAAGGCGCGUGAGGGAUGACUGCCCUAUGGGUUGUAAACUUCUUUUAUAUGGGAAUAAAAUGUUCCACGUGUGGGAUUUUGUAUGUACCAUAUGAAUAAGCAUCGGCUAACUCCGUGCCAGCAGCCGCGGUAAUACGGAGGAUCCGAGCGUUAUCCGGAUUUAUUGGGUUUAAAGGGUGCGUAGGCGGAUGGUUAAGU
rnacentral:rRNA from 1 species